rnacentral:rRNA from 1 species
UACAGGCUUAACACAUGCAAGUCGAGGGGCAGCAUGGUCUUAGCUUGCUAAGGCCGAUGGCGACCGGCGCACGGGUGAGUAACACGUAUCCAACCUGCCGUCUACUCUUGGACAGCCUUCUGAAAGGAAGAUUAAUACAAGAUGGCAUCAUGAGUCCGCAUGUUCACAUGAUUAAAGGUAUUCCGGUAGACGAUGGGGAUGCGUUCCAUUAGAUAGUAGGCGGGGUAACGGCCCACCUAGUCUUCGAUGGAUAGGGGUUCUGAGAGGAAGGUCCCCCACAUUGGAACUGAGACACGGUCCAAACUCCUACGGGAGGCAGCAGUGAGGAAUAUUGGUCAAUGGGCGAGAGCCUGAACCAGCCAAGUAGCGUGAAGGAUGACUGCCCUAUGGGUUGUAAACUUCUUUUAUAAAGGAAUAAAGUCGGGUAUGGAUACCCGUUUGCAUGUACUUUAUGAAUAAGGAUCGGCUAACUCCGUGCCAGCAGCCGCGGUAAUACGGAGGAUCCGAGCGUUAUCCGGAUUUAUUGGGUUUAAAGGGAGCGUAGAUGGAUGUUUAAGUCAGUUGUGAAAGUUUGCGGCUCAACCGUAAAAUUGCAGUUGAUACUGAAUAUCUUGAGUGCAGUUGAGGCAGGCGGAAUUCGUGGUGUAGCGGUGAAAUGCUUAGAUAUCACGAAGAACUCCGAUUGCGAAGGCAGCCUGCUAAGCUGCAACUGACAUUGAGGCUCGAAAGUGUGGGUAUCAAACAGGAUUAGAUACCCUGGUAGUCCACACGGUAAACGAUGAAUACUCGCUGUUUGCGAUAUACUGCAAGCGGCCAAGCGAAAGCGUUAAGUAUUCCACCUGGGGAGUACGCCGGCAACGGUGAAACUCAAAGGAAUUGACGGGGGCCCGCACAAGCGGAGGAACAUGUGGUUUAAUUCGAUGAUACGCGAGGAACCUUACCCGGGCUUAAAUUGCAGAUGAAUUACGGUGAAAGCCGUAAGCCGCAAGGCAUCUGUGAAGGUGCUGCAUGGUUGUCGUCAGCUCGUGCCGUGAGGUGUCGGCUUAAGUGCCAUAACGAGCGCAACCCUUGUUGUCAGUUACUAACAGGUUCCGCUGAGGACUCUGACAAGACUGCCAUCGUAAGAUGUGAGGAAGGUGGGGAUGACGUCAAAUCAGCACGGCCCUUACGUCCGGGGCUACACACGUGUUACAAUGGGGGGUACAGAGGGCCGCUACCACGCGAGUGGAUGCCAAUCCCCAAAACCUCUCUCAGUUCGGACUGGAGUCUGCAACCCGACUCCACGAAGCUGGAUUCGCUAGUAAUCGCGCAUCAGCCACGGCGCGGUGAAUACGUUCCCGGGCCUUGUACACACCGCCCGUCAAGCCAUGGGAGCCGGGGGUACCUGAAGUGCGUAACCGCGAGGAGCGCCCUAGGGUAAAACUGGUGACUGGGGCU